GUCUUCGGGGCAGGGUGAAAUUCCCGACCGGCGGUAAAGUCCGCGAGCCGCGCUGCGGCAUGAACCGGUGCAAUUCCGGUACCGACAGUACAGUCUGGAUGGUAGAAGACA
rnacentral:ncRNA from 1 species